CUGUUUCUUAGCCCUUUCCCUAGGGGGCCAGGGAAGACAAGGAAUUGCUUGUCAACUGAGACAUGCGAGGGGUGGCAGGGAAGGGCAGAAGUAGGAAAAGCAGCAGCACAGCAAGCAGCAGGCCACUUCCCGGGCACGGUUACUAAGGCACGUGACCAUGGUGAGGAGGAUCCUCAGGACCCGGCUGGAGCUGCCUGCAGCCACCCGGGGACUCGGUCUGUGCCUCUUGACCUCCCCUCCAUCACCACAAACCCAGAAAGGGGCAACCUGCCCAGACUGCAAGUGACUAAAUGGGCACUCCAUGGCAUCUUAGCAACUCUCCUGCCCCAGGCCUCUGUGGGCAGCAAGAAAGCCAGAGCUAUCUAGGAUAAAACCCAGGAGGCAGCAUGUGGAGAUAAUGGGCGGUCUGACUCACCGCAAUCUGGCAGAUAAAGAGGAUACAACGCAGAGCGUACCAGCGCGCCCAGGUGGUCAAAAUAGUAACAUUUGCUCAUAUCCUCUUUUCAGGCAGCGACCUACCUGCUCCCAUAACUCUAAAUCUAAGGUUCCUUGAUCAGGAAACCAAGGGCAUCCCUGCCGAAUUAAAAGCAUAAGCUUGUGUAGAGCUCCAGGCUCUACAGUGCACUGGAUAGCCUUAAGUAGCUGUUGCACUGUUUUAAAAAAUACUUUCUGUUCUUUGGUCAUUUCCUGACCCAUGAUGACCCAACCCCUGGUAUUUUACGCGUGGGUCCCGUCCUCCUAAUGGCAAUCAGGACUGUCCCUUACUGGGAUUCCCCAAAAAUUAAGGAGUUUUCCUCCUUCACGUGCAACUUCAAGGCGAUCACUUCGGGCGCACCACUUGUAGAGUUUAUAGCUUGCAGUGAACGCCCAGAAUGAGUUCUCAGACAAUUCCAGCUGAGCGGAGCGGCGGACCACUCUUCUGAGAGAGUGUCACCCCAGAAUCCAUCCGCCAAGUAUUUAUUGAAAGGGCUUGUUAAACUACAAACAUCCACUAGAUGGCCUCUUGAGGUCGGGUCGUGACACACCUGUGGCCUUCUAAAAGCAUUCAAACCACAUUCUCAGGAGGCUGUUUUCAGCGUUCCUCAUGACACACUCCACUCCUUGUCCUGUUUUCAGGGUCAAGGAGUUACAUUUCCAUGCACAAAUAACAUACACACAGUGCCUCCGUCUUUUUCCAUGCCCCGACCUCAAAUGCUUUGUAUACAAGCUUGAAUUUGUUGCCAUGCACCCCCAACAACCCUCUGCCCAUUUGGCUGGCAAAGCAACUGGUUGUGCCCUCAAUAAACAGUACUGACUUUGGGAA